rnacentral:tRNA from 1 species
GGGCAGUGGCUCAGUGGAAGAGCAGCGGCCUGGGGUGCAGGAGGUCCCGAAUUCAAUCACCAGCAUGUCCU